rnacentral:rRNA from 1 species
UCUUGGGUCAUUUAGAGGAAGUAAAAGUCGUAACAAGGUCUCCGUUGGUGAACCAGCGGAGGGAUCAUUACCGAGUUUACAACUCCCAAACCCCUGUGAACAUACCUUAUGUUGCCUCGGCGGAUCAGCCCGCGCCCCGUAAAAAGGGACGGCCCGCCGCAGGAACCCUAAACUCUGUUUUUAGUGGAACUUCUGAGUAUAAAAAACAAAUAAAUCAAAACUUUCAACAACGGAUCUCUUGGUUCUGGCAUCGAUGAAGAACGCAGCAAAAUGCGAUAAGUAAUGUGAAUUGCAGAAUUCAGUGAAUCAUCGAAUCUUUGAACGCACAUUGCGCCCGCCAGUAUUCUGGCGGGCAUGCCUGUUCGAGCGUCAUUUCAACCCUCAAGCCCAGCUUGGUGUUGGGAGCUGCAGUCCUGCUGCACUCCCCAAAUACAUUGGCGGUCACGUCGAGCUUCCAUAGCGUAGUAAUUUACACAUCGUUACUGGUAAUCGUCGCGGCCACGCCGUUAAACCCCAACUUCUGAAUGUUGACCUCGGAUCAGGUAGGAAUACCCGCUGAACUUAAGCAUAUCAAUAAGCGGAGGAA